GACGAACGCUGGCGGCGUGCUUAACACAUGCAAGUCGAGCGGUAAGGCCUUUCGGGGUACACGAGCAGCGAACGGGUGAGUAACACGUGGGUGACCUGCCCUCCUCUCUGGGAUAGGCCUGGGAAACUGGGUCUAAUACCGGAUAUUCACUGCUCAUCGCAUGGUGGGUGGUGGAACGUUUUUUCGGUGGGGGAUGGGCCCGCGGCCUAUCAGCUUGUUGGUGGGGUGAUGGCCUACCAAGGCGACGACGGGUAGCCAGCCGGAGAGGGCGACCGGCCACACUGGGACUGAGACACGGCCCAGACUCCUACGGGAGGCAGCAGUGGGGAAUAUUGCGCAAUGGGCGGAAGCCUGACGCAGCGACGCCGCGUGGGGGAUGACGGCCUUCGGGUUGUAAACCUCUUUCGACCUCGACGAAGAGUGAUUGACGGUAGGGGUGGAAGAAGCACCGGCCAACUACGUGCCAGCAGCCGCCGUAAUAC
rnacentral:rRNA from 1 species